rnacentral:tRNA from 1 species
GAGUGGUGGAAUUGGUAGACACACGGGACUUAAAAUCCCGCGGCCGUCGAGGCCGUGCCGGUUCAAGUCCGGCCUC